CACGAUCCGUAGCUGGUCUGAGAGGAUGAUCAGCCACAUCGGGACUGAGACACGGCCCGAACUCCUACGGGAGGCAGCAGUGGGGAAUAUUGGACAAUGGGGGCAACCCUGAUCCAGCCAUGCCGCGUGUGUGAAGAAGGCCCUCGGGUUGUAAAGCACUUUCAGCGAGGAAGAACGCCUAGCGGUUAAUACCCGCUAGGAAAGACAUCACUCGCAGAAGAAGCACCGGCUAACUCCGUGCCAGCAGCCGCGGUAAUACGGAGGGUGCAAGCGUUAAUCGGAAUUACUGGGCGUAAAGCGCGCGUAGGUGGCUUGAUAAGCCGGUUGUGAAAGCCCCGGGCUCAACCUGGGAACGGCAUCCGGAACUGUCAAGCUAGAGUGCAGGAGAGGAAGGUAGAAUUCCCGGUGUAGCGGUGAAAUGCGUAGAGAUCGGGAGGAAUACCAGUGGCGAAGGCGGCCUUCUGGACUGACACUGACACUGAGGUGCGAAAGCGUGGGUAGCAAACAGGAUUAGAUACCCUGGUAGUCCACGCCGUAAACGAUGUCGACCAGCCGUUGGGUGCCUAGCGCACUUUGUGGCGAAGUUAACGCGAUAAGUCGACCGCCUGGGGAGUACGGCCGCAAGGUUAAAACUCAAAUGAAUUGACGGGGGCCCGCACAAGCGGUGGAGCAUGUGGUUUAAUUCGAUGCAACGCGAAGAACCUUACCUACUCUUG
rnacentral:rRNA from 1 species